rnacentral:misc_RNA from 1 species
UGAGGGGACAGGAGGCCCAGCGAGG